ACCUGGUACUACCUAAAGGUUAAGAUAUGACCUGGUACUGCCUAAAGGUUAAGAGAUGACCUGGUACUGCCUAAAGGUUAAGAGAUGACCUGGUACUGCCUAAAGGUUAAGAGAUGACCUGGUACUACCUAAAGGUUAAGAUAUGACCUGGUACUGCCUAAAGGUUAAGAGAUGACCUGGUACUGCCUAAAGGUUAAGAGAUGACCUGGUACUGCCUAAAGGUUAAGAGAUGACCUGGUACUACCUAAAGGUUAAGAGAUGACCUGGUACUGCCUAAAGGUUAAGAGAUGACCUGGUACUGCCUAAAGGUUAAGAUAUGACCUGGUACUACCUAAAGGUUAAGAGAUGACCUGGUACUGCCUAAAGGUUAAGAGAUGACCAGGUACUGCCGAAAGGUUAAGAGGUGUCAUCUGUUUGCUGCAAAUGCACUCAAACCUGUCUAUCCUUUUGGACCAAAUUAGAAUCUGUCGUUAGGCCAUAUUACUAAAAACCUACUGGAUUUAAUGAUGUCUAGGUAACAGAUGUUUACCAGUUGUAAAUUUCACUGUGCCUUGCAAAUUCUUUUUACAUUUUUUUUUAUUUAAGCAGUGAGUAUAAUAGGUUACUUCCCCAAUCUAGAUAUAGGACCUGGGCUGUCUCAAUAGUGUAAGCGUGCUUCCUUUCAUUGAACCUUUCCUUCGUCAUCUCUGAUCUGGCAGGUGGAAGCAACAUAUGGUGAAAGCCUCUCUCACCUAUCAUGAAGGAAAGGAGGUGAAAGAAGGAAGCCAGUGUAGUGGAUUGAGAUAUCUCCCAUGCAGCCCCAGUCUCCUUUAUAUGAAGCCCAUUGCUCUUAGACACCGGUCAGUGUUGUCUUAAAAAGGAAAGGAGAUGAGAGAAGGAAGCCAGUGUAGUGGAUUGAGAUAUCUCCACACCGGUCAGUGUUGUCUUAAAAGGGAAAGGAAACGAUUUGGUAUAUGAAUGAACCCGGUCUGCCAAACAACAGCCAAACAGCUGUUAAAUAUGCCGACCUGGUCAGGUCAAGGGGUCAGUAGUAACUCCAGGCUCUUAUGUCCACUACUACGGUGGCCCAGAGUGGACAUCUAUUUGUUUACAACCAAGGUCGGGGGUAAAUUCCAUUUCAAUUCAGGAAGUAAAAAUUGGAAUUUCAGUCAUCGUCAAUGCUUUUUUAAUGAGGAAACAUUUGGAAUUGUAAUUUGGUUUUAACUUUCUGAUUUGAAAUGGAAUCGACCCCCCCCACCCCACCCCCCCCCUGUUUACAACCAUGUACAUUAUUACAUACCGAUGAAUGUUCUAGUUUGUUCAGUUCAAAGUGCUGCGUUUUGGUGUUUUCUUAAAAUGCAUCUCUCUCCAUUCAUCAGGUUGACGUUUCUCUAGCUUGCUUUAGGUUUGGAUAAAAGCAUCAGAGCAUAGCUACACGUUGUUGUGUUUAUUUAUUUUACUUUUUGGGGGGGAGGGGGUUCGGGGGGGGGGGGGGGGGGGGGGGGGGGGGGGGGGGGCGGGACAUUCGGUUCGGAUUUUAUUUCAUUAUUUUUCUAGGUUGAUCAGAAAGCAAGUACAGUGAUGGUUGAAUUGACUCACUGCUUUUGUUAUUGCUCCUGCUUCAUGUGUUUAAUUCAUGUGUUUAAUUCUCUCCUUCUAGCCCGGGUCACAGAUCUGUUUGUGUGCAGGGUAGCCUAGUGGUUAGAGCGUUGGACUAGUAACCGGAAGGUUGCAAGUUCAAACCCCCGAGCUGACAAGGUACAAAUCUGUCGUUCUGCCCCCUGAACAGGCAGUUAACCCACUGUUCCUAGACCGUCAUUGAAAAUAAGAAUUUGUUCUUAACUGACUUGCCUAGUAAAAUAAAAAUUCCCUUAUGGAGUUGUCAUGCAAAACAAUUGGCUUGAAAGUACAAACAAAAAAAUACAUUUUGAGUUGGCAAGAGCACAAACAGAUCUGGGACCAGGCUAAUCUCUUUCCAACUGGGAUGAUGAUGAUGAUGAUGAUGAUGAUCGUGGUUUUGUAUUGGGAAGUUACACCCUGCCCACUGGCCACACGCUUGUUGAAUCGACGUUGUUUCCAUGUCUUUUCAAUGACAUCACGUUGAGCCAACGUGAAAUAGACGUUCAGUUGACAUCUGUGCAGUUUGACAAUAUGCCGUGUUUUUUUUUAUUUAUUUUUGCUGUAGGGGUGAAGUCGCCCCUAGAUACUGAUUCUGGGUCAGUUUUACGUUUCUCCACUAUUGUUAAAAUUAGGAUUAGGGGAGCGGAAUCUGAUUCUGGAUCAGUUUUACAAUUCUCCACUAUUGUUAAAAUUAGGAUUAGGGGAGCGGAAUCUGAUUCUGGGUCAGUACCUAGACAAAACUUGACCCCCCCCCCCCCGGCGUUUUCUCAUGUUUCCUACCUGGAAAGUAUUGGUGUGGAUCACAGUAACGGACUUGUGACCUGUUGUGAAGAUGUUCUAUAUGUUUUAGUGGGAAAGUGGGUUUUUUGUUGUUCCACCAUGUUGUUUUCUCUCUAUCUCAAAGUGAUGAUGAUGAUGAUGAUGAUGAUGUCGGCUGAGUCCAAACUUCUCUCACUUUGGGGCCGGCACCUGGAAUAAAAAAACAAAAAGAGUCUUGCAGGCGAUGAUGCUGAUGAUGCAAGAUGAUCGAGAACAA